AGGCGUUUGACUGUUUUCAAGUCAUUGUUAUGAAGAAUGUUUGCAGAAAAAACCUUGGCACUUGAUCUGAUUUCUCACAUUUCCCCCUCUGAACUCCACGCCCCUGAUGAAGAACCAGACAGGAACGGGACCGGCUGCUCUGUAUGGAGGAGGGCUACAGAGCAGUCUGUGAGAUGGUUCGCAUCACCACUUGCUGUACUGAAGGCAGCAGACAUAGAUGUUAAGCUCAGUGAAAAGAAACUGCAAUGCAGUGCAUCAGCAUCGGGAACAAUAAACAUAAAUCAGACACCUAAUAGUUCUUUCAGAGAAUUGAUUUAAAGUCUGGAUUAUUUCCCAUCCCGGGCAUGCAUCAUAUCCCCCAGCAGCAAACUGAAGGAUGUACCGUGACCCUAGUUACUACAGAAAUGUUCAUGGAUCAGAGACCCUGCAGUCAACCUUCUUGUUCUGACCAAUCAUUAACCAGGAGGAACAUUGUGGAGCUGCCGCUGCUUUUUCCUGAGUUACUUUAACAGACUGACCACAGGCAUGUUCCUUCGUCCUUAGAAGAGUUCCAGAAGAUUAGUCAGCUAAACCUGACAAGGCUUCUGGGAAGCUGGAAAGGACUUGGCUCAGCAUAUUAGGAACUAAGGUUAAUAUAGUGCUUCAAGGCACAUAGACUGAAUCUGGAAUAGAGCAGAAGACCUAACCCUUGGGAUACCAGAAGAGGAAUAUGUAUGGUUUAGAAGGAAGAACCAAGAAAUAUGGGGUCCCAGGGCUGGAAUGCCUGGAGGAUUAGAAAACAAAUGAUCUCUGAGGGAGCUUCAAUUAAAUCCACUUCCACAAUGGAUGCAGGCAGCUGAAGAGAAUGCCAAUGGCCAGUCAGAGAUACCCAACUUCUCCCAGUGGAUGGGUUGGCAAAAGCAGGAAGGACAAGGAGAAAUUGCUUAUAUGUGGCUUUUGGUUAUUUUGUGCUUGAAUUUGCAGUGGUUUUAAGUUUAGAAAAACACUGGAUCUGAAAAUGCAUGGACUGAAUCUGCACCCAAUUAUGACUAAUGUGUUAUAAGUACUCUGAUGGAGGCAGACACUGAAAAACUGCUGCAGUCAAACCUGUGAGUAGUAAAUACGUGCAGCCUGCUCUUCAGCCAUGACUUCGUAAAUGUUAUGUCACUAUGAUAUUUUGCAAAAACAUAUCUUUUCUAUUUGAAAUGCAAACUUGGGUGUCUUCUGUAAAACGCCUGUACAAUGAAAGCAGGGCACAAAGGAAAGGCCCUGAUCCUGUAGUAAGAAAGACUGCACUUUCGGAAAGGUAUUUUUUGC
rnacentral:lncRNA from 7 species